rnacentral:rRNA from 1 species
GACGAACGCUGGCGGCGUGCUUAACACAUGCAAGUCGAACGGAAAGGCCCUGCUUUUGUGGGGUGCUCGAGUGGCGAACGGGUGAGUAACGCGUGAGUAACCUGCCCUUGACUUUGGGAUAACUUCAGGAAACUGGGGCUAAUACCGGAUAGGAGCUCCUGCUGCAUGGUGGGGGUUGGAAAGUUUCGGCGGUUGGGGAUGGACUCGCGGCUUAUCAGCUUGUUGGUGGGGUAGUGGCUUACCAAGGCUUUGACGGGUAGCCGGCCUGAGAGGGUGACCGGCCAAAUUGGGACUGAGAUACGGCCCAGACUCCUACGGGAGGCAGCAGUGGGGAAUAUUGCACAAUGGGCGGAAGCCUGAUGCAGCAACGCCGCGUGCGGGAUGACGGCCUUCGGGUUGUAAACCGCUUUCGCCUGUGACGAAGCGUGAGUGACGGUAAUGGGUAAAGAAGCACCGGCUAACUACGUG